rnacentral:rRNA from 1 species
GCAAGUCGAGGGGUAACGGGGUGCUUGCACCUCCGACGACCGGCGCACGGGUGCGUAACGCGUAUAGAAUCUACCUUGUACUGAGGGAUAGCCUUUGGAAACGAAGAUUAAGCCCUCAUGGUAUUAUAGCCUGGCAUCAGAUUAUAAUUAAAGGUUACGGUACAAGAUGACUAUGCGUUCUAUUAGCUAGAUGGUAAGGUAACGGCUUACCAUGGCUACGAUAGAUAGGGGCCCUGAGAGGGGGAUC